GAAUUUAGAGAUUGAGUUCAAGCUUCUUUUGCAGGAGGAUGGAACAACUACUGCUUCAAUCUUAUUUUUCUUGGUUUAUGGAAUGCAUUUCAAGGAGCAAUGGAAAUCUCGGACAACACCAUAUGUGACUGUACCUGAGCAACAUUGUGUAAGUCACCAUGUUUUCUCUUAUGUGAUUGGUAAAAGAUGGAUUUUGGUAGAGCUGGAGUUGCAUCAUAAGAAAACCGGUAGACGUAUUCGGAUGCUCACUUUUGGUAGUGAAGAGGUAAUAGUAUUCAGGCCAAAUCUAAGAGUUGAUGGUGCUAAUGUUUAUGCAUGGUUGUACGAUUAUGGA
rnacentral:lncRNA from 1 species